AAGACACCAGGAUGUGUGCACAGAGAACAAGCUUUGUGAGAACAUGGCGAGAAGGCGGCCAACUGCGAGACAAGGAGAGAGAGGCUCCAGGAGAAACCAAACCUACCGACAUCUUGGUUGUGGGCUUCCAGAUUCCAAAACUAGAUUGCACCAUUUAACUUGAAAUGCAUUGAAAGCAGUAACUCAUGAAUGGAGGAAACUUGACAAGAAUGACUAAAUUAUCCUUAUUAUUCAAUUCGAGGACAGAAAGAAGCAAUUGGAAAUUUUAUAACUAUCAAAAUUGACAUGAGGAAAUACCCACAAGCCAUGAUUAGCCUGAGACUGGUCUGGAUUAGAAAGAAAAGUGAUGAUACAGGAUGCAAUAACAAACUGUUAAUGAGUUUCCAGAGUGACAAACUAAAUGCUGACUAAAUACACAGGUACACUCCGGGAUGUCCUAUCCUGUGGUCCUUCAAUCACUGUAUGAAGUAACCGUAUUCAAAUGGUGUGGAAAAGAGGCAGCUUCGCUCCUGUCCCUCUGGCACAUUCUUCAGAAAUUCAGAAAAUAUCUACUGCCUUCGGACCAUUGAAAAUCUGCACCGUAUUUUCAUAAUUUUGAAGGAUUUCUCAUUUUUAUUUGAUACUUUUCCUUUCCUACUUUUAUCCCAUCUUAAAAUUAGCCUUUGAAACUUUUUGAGCACGAACAGUAAUAGCACAGGGAAAUCAGGCCAUCGAGGGCUCUGCCUCUCAUUUUUAUGUAACUGAAGCAAAUUCCAGGUAGCCCAGGAGCCGAUGGAAAGUAAUCAAGCUUCAGUCUCCAUCUCUCUGAGGCUCAAAGCAAAUGUUAAGAAAGCAGAUCAAAA